GACGAACGCUGGCGGCGUGCUUAACACAUGCAAGUCGAACGGACCUUGUUAGACUGAUUUUUCGGAAUGACGUUUUCAAGUUUAGUGGCGGACGGGUGAGUAACGCGUGAGCAACCUGCCUUUCAGAGGGGGACAACAGUUGGAAACGACUGCUAAUACCGCAUAACGUAUCGAAGAGGCAUCUCUUUGAUACCAAAGAUUAUAUCGCUGAAAGAUGGGCUCGCGUACGAUUAGAUAGUUGGUGAGGUAACGGCUCACCAAGUCGACGAUCGUUAGCCGGACUGAGAGGUUGAACGGCCACAUUGGGACUGAGACACGGCCCAGACUCCUACGGGAGGCAGCAGUGAGGAAUAUUGGGCAAUGGGCGCAAGCCUGACCCAGCAAUGCCGCGUGAAGGAAGACGGUUUUCGGAUUGUAAACUUCUUUUAAGAGGGACGAUAAUGACGGUACCUCUUGAAUAAGCCACGGCUAACUACGUG
rnacentral:rRNA from 1 species